rnacentral:rRNA from 1 species
UUACACAUGCAAGUCGAGGGGUAUAGUAGCAAUACUAGAGACCGGCGCACGGGUGCGUAACGCGUAUGCAAUCUACCUUUUACAGAGGGAUAGCCCAGAGAAAUUUGGAUUAAUACCUCAUAGUAUAGCGACCUGGCAUCAGGAUGUUAUUAAAGUCACAACGGUAAAAGAUGAGCAUGCGUCCCAUUAGCUAGUUGGUAAGGUAACGGCUUACCAAGGCGACGAUGGGUAGGGGUCCUGAGAGGGAGAUCCCCCACACUGGUACUGAGACACGGACCAGACUCCUACGGGAGGCAGCAGUGAGGAAUAUUGGACAAUGGGCGCAAGCCUGAUCCAGCCAUGCCGCGUGCAGGAUGACGGUCCUAUGGAUUGUAAACUGCUUUUGUACAGGAAGAAACCCUUUCACGUGUGAAAGAUUGACGGUACUGUAAGAAUAAGGAUCGGCUAACUCCGUGCCAGCAGCCGCGGUAAUACGGAGGAUCCAAGCGUUAUCCGGAAUCAUUGGGUUUAAAGGGUCCGUAGGCGGCCAGAUAAGUCAGUGGUGAAAGCCCAUCGCUCAACGGUGGAACGGCCAUUGAUACUGUCUGGCUUGAAUUACAAGGAAGUAACUAGAAUAUGUAGUGUAGCGGUGAAAUGCUUAGAGAUUACAUGGAAUACCAAUUGCGAAGGCAGGUUACUACUUGUGGAUUGACGCUGAUGGACGAAAGCGUGGGUAGCGAACAGGAUUAGAUACCCUGGUAGUCCACGCCGUAAACGAUGGAUACUAGCUGUUGGGAGCAAUCUCAGUGGCUAAGCGAAAGUGAUAAGUAUCCCACCUGGGGAGUACGGGCGCAAGCCUGAAACUCAAAGGAAUUGACGGGGGCCCGCACAAGCGGUGGAGCAUGUGGUUUAAUUCGAUGAUACGCGAGGAACCUU